rnacentral:misc_RNA from 1 species
UUGUUGAUUGUACAACCCGGUUACUCCAUUUGUGAACUUCCUGUUUCUUCUCCUCUUUGUUACUGCAAUAAAUCCUUCACCAUCACCAUUUUUAUCUUUAUUUACAUCGAUUUCUUUUGACUGCUUGUUAUCAUUCGACUGAGUAACCUGUUCUGUCUUUCCUUCAUUUCCAUAGAGAAUUUCUAUGAUUGCACUGUCAUUUGCAAUUGCAUCUGAAGAACUUUCAAAACUUUCAAACUUCUUCUCACUGGCUAAAGGCUCGCUUCCAGUAUCAACAUUAUGCUGAACUGAAUUCACAAUAAAG